rnacentral:rRNA from 1 species
AUUGAACGCUGGCGGCAGGCCUAACACAUGCAAGUCGAACGGUAACAGGAAGAAGCUUGCUUCUUUGCUGACGAGUGGCGGACGGGUGAGUAAUGUCUGGGAAACUGCCUGAUGGAGGGGGAUAACUACUGGAAACGGUAGCUAAUACCGCAUAACGUCGCAAGACCAAAGAGGGGGACCUUCGGGCCUCUUGCCAUCGGAUGUGCCCAGAUGGGAUUAGCUUGUUGGUGGGGUAACGGCUCACCAAGGCGACGAUCCCUAGCUGGUCUGAGAGGAUGACCAGCCACACUGGAACUGAGACACGGUCCAGACUCCUACGGGAGGCAGCAGUGGGGAAUAUUGCACAAUAGGCGCAAGCCUGAUGCAGCCAUGCCGCGUGUAUGAAGAAGGCCUUCGGGUUGUAAAGUACUUUCAGCGGGGAGGAAGGGAGUAAAGUUAAUACCUUUGCUCAUUGACGUUACCCGCAGAAGAAGCACCGGCUAACUCCGUG